rnacentral:rRNA from 1 species
CCUACGGGAGGCUGCAGUGGGGUAUAUUGGACAAUGGGCGAAAGCCUGAUCCAGCCAUGCCGCGUGUGUGAAGAAGGCCUUCGGGUUGUAAAGCACUUUCAGUGGGGAAGAAAGCCUUGGGGCUAAUACCCUCGAGGAAGGACAUCACCCACAGAAGAAGCACCGGCUAACUCCGUGCCAGCAGCCGCGGUAAUACGGAGGGUGCGAGCGGUAAUCGGAAUUACUGGGCGUAAAGCGCGCGUAGGCGGUCUGAUAAGCCGGUUGUGAAAGCCCCGGGCUCAACCUGGGAACGGCAUCCGGAACUGUCAGGCUAGAGUGCAGGAGAGGAAGGUAGAAUUCCCGGUGUAGCGGUGAAAUGCGUAGAGAUCGGGAGGAAUACCAGUGGCGAAGGCGGCCUUCUGGACUGACACUGACGCUGAGGUGCGAAAGCGUGGGUAGCAAACAGGAUUAGAUACCCCAGUAGUC